UACAGAGGUCCCGAGCGUUUUUCGGAUUCACUGGGCGUAAAGGGUGCGCAGGUGGUCGGGUAAGUCUGAUGUGAAAUCCCGCAGCUUAACUGCGGAAUGGCAUUGGAUACUAUUCGGCUAGAGGGUUGGAGGGGGGACUGGAAUUCUCGGUGUAGCAGUGAAAUGCGUAGAUAUCGAGAGGAACACCAGUGGCGAAGGCGAGUCCCUGGACAACUCCUGACGCUGAGGCACGAAAGCUAGGGGAGCAAACAGG
rnacentral:rRNA from 1 species